GUUGCUGCGCUGCGUCUCCGCAACGUUUUUUUUCGUCAGAGUGAAGAAGAAAAGAUAUAUCUCUACAAAUCUGAAGAAGGGAAAAGUCGUCGAGCCAAGUGAAAAGUGACCAAGUUUCGUAAUAGCAAUAAAAAGUAAUAUCCGAGUAAAAACGGCAAUUGGCGCAUUGCAAAUGCAAAUUUAAAGUGUGCGAACGAGCAGGAAAGCAAGCCAGCAAGCGAGAAAGAGUGUGCAAAGAAGAGGCGGCAAUAAGCAACACACACAAACACACAAGUACACACAUCAAAGAGAGCUACAAACAAAACGAAAUUGUUACUAAAAAAAAACGUUCUCCAAGCAGCGGCAAAAAACAACACAAAAGAAAACGUACGUGUCUGGGCAUUGAUUUUCCCCCCUCUAAAGAAUUUUCGUGAACGGCAUGCAGCUAAGCGACAGUAUUUUUGCUCAACACUAAAAUAAAUAUAUAAACAAGAUACAGAAGGGAUACCCAGCACUUUUCACUACAGAGAUACAGAUACAAAUCUUAGCCGUGAUUAUUUGUUGCAUUUUUUUGGACACACGGAGGAAACGAGAUAGCGAGCUUAAGCCAGAAACAACAACAACAAAAGAACAACAAAAACAACAACAAGAAGAAAACGUAGUACGACUAGCAAAAGACACCACCAAUUUCUAAUUUUCAACUAAAGAUAAAGUUAAAGAUACAGAUACAUAAAGAUAAUACCACAAGAAAGUAGCCAAAAUCUCUAUAUGUUUAGUAUAUAUAUUGAUCAUCGUAUAUGAACAGUAUAUAGCAUAAAGUUAUACAUAUAUUUACAACAACAAAGCAACAGCAGCAACAACAACCCCAAGG